UAUAAGUUUUUAUUUUCUCUUUACCAACAGUGGCGGACCCUUAGGGCCAGCAAGGCCUUCUCUGCUGGCCUAAACAUUCUC